AUGCAAAAUGAGGAACCACCAAAGGAUGCCAGGGAAAGGGGGAGAAAAAGGGAUUCCCUCACCUUUUCCGGCACAUUCCUUGUCAAUUUCCACCAGAAGGAGGCGCGCGGUCUAGAUCCCCCUCUCGUCUCCUUUCUUACAUCCCCCUACCGAGCGCAGCCCAGGCUCGCCGCGCAGCCGGAGCAGCUUCUCCGGCAGCCCUGGCCCUCCGCACCCCCCCUCCCCGCCCCCCGGGUUGGUUUUUCCCAGCUGCGGAGGUUGGGCCAGGGGCUGGGGUGCGAGGAGUCGGCGCCCGCAGCGCGGAACGGGCAAGUCGCUGCGACUCUGGUGAGACUGGGAGUUAUCUCGAGUGCGGAGGUCGCGCAGCGGAUCCUGCGGGAGGCGCCAACAAAAGAGGCGGGAGGUGCCACCCGGAGGCGGCGGCCGCAAGACGAGCGGGAGGAGGAGCGCUGAGCCGAGCGUCCCAACCGGCCGUGCGUACUUUCUGGAGGGACGGGGCGGGGGACUUGGCCCCGGGAGGGGGACGCCCGGUGGCCAGGGGGUUGGCCAAGUUCCGGCGGCGGCGUUGGCGGCGGCCCUCCUCCGCUCCCACGAGGGGAAAGUUUUCUCCAGAAGCUUCCGGCCGGCCCGCGCCCUCCGGAGCCCCGUCUCCCGAACCUUCGGAGCGGGCGGCGUCCCAGCCCGGCU
rnacentral:lncRNA from 1 species